CGUUUAUGGCAACAUGAGCUGGCGAUUUUCCUUGUAAACUUGAAAGUUUAUAGCCAUAACGGGCUUCUUGAGGUUGCUUUUCCAAUAGUAAACAAAGAAUCUGGUUAUUUCCAGUUUUGAUUGCCAUACACAGUGGAGACCAGCCUUCCUUGUUUUCGCAAUACCAUACUUCUUGAUCUACAUCAAUCAAGAAUUCAGCCACUUUAGGGUGACGAUUCAUCACAGCCUCAUGCAAAGCAGUGUUUCCAAGAUUAUUCUUCUUCCUCACUAAUUCUUGUCUCCUGUGUGCAUACCUUAGAAGAAUUUGUACGGUCUUCAGAAUUCCCACUCUAGCAGCAAAAUGCAGAGCAGUAUUG
rnacentral:misc_RNA from 1 species